CGGAAGUAGCUCAGUUGGUAGAGUACUUGCCUUCCAAGCAAGCUGUCGCGAGUUCGAGUCUCGUCUUCCG
rnacentral:tRNA from 1 species